UACAGAGGGUGCGAGCGUUGUUCGGAAUUACUGGGCGUAAAGCGCGCGCAGGCGGCCUUUUAAGUCUGACGGUGAAAUGCCGGGGCUCAACCCCGUGCCCGCCGGAGAUACUGGGAGGCUGGAGACAUGUAGAGGCAAGCGGAAUUCCGGGUGUAGCGGUGGAAUGCGUAGAGAUCCGGAAGAACACCGGAGGCGAAGGCGGCUUGCUGGACAUGUAUUGACGCUGAGGUGCGAAAGCGUGGGGAGCAAACAGG
rnacentral:rRNA from 1 species